UAGUUACAGCAAGAUACUCAAUUUGGAGGUAGUAAGGUGUUAGUCUCGUGAAAUAAGGGAGAAUUUGGAGUCCCAAGUGGAAACUUAUGAAAAAGUCUUCCUUUUCCUUAUUUACUUCUAAAUACUGACAGGAUGGGAAUACUUUUUCUUCUGAAUCCUUUGCCAGUUUCCUUACAAGAAAGAGACAAAACGGGGAAGUAUAAGAAAAAAAACCAGAGAAGAUAC
rnacentral:lncRNA from 1 species